ACGAGGCGACGCGCGGUAGGCGACGCGGAGUGCGGACGAUGGCGGACGGUGGCGGACGGUGGCGGACGGUGGCGGACGGUGGCGGACUAUCGUCGACAAUACGCACCGCUACGUUUCUAGAAUUGUAACUUGCAAGGUUUAACGAGAGCGCUCGGAGCUCGCGUGACCCUCCGCAGUAGACCUGGCGGUCGCGGAGGAAGCAGGAGGGGUGGCGGUCCAGCUGCACGGCGCACACGCAACAGCGCAGACAGGCCGUGUGCCACGCGCCGCCGCCCACCUCCAGCAGGAACCGGUCCGCGAUGGGCUCGCCGCACGCGCAGCAAGUGCGGUGCUCCGUCUGGAAUGGUAAAGCCAUUCCGUGAGACAACGUGGGGGCACCGAAGGACGAAACGCUCCAAUCGAAAAGAAAACAUUUGAAAGCCGCGCGAGCCGAGGUGAGCACGUAUGAAAACAAACUCGUCUCCGUGUCCCAUCAGAAGUGACACUCAUCUCAUUACGCCUCCGUCACAAUAAAAGAUCCCGCUCCUAAAUGCAAUUACAUUCGUAAAUCGCGAAUAACACGCGGGAAUUAGUUAAACAAUACGCAGCCACAUGUCGCUGGAGCCUAGACGCAAGGGAAGGGUCCGUAAUCUAAUAGAGCCGUUGCAUAAAUACCCCGCCCUAGCUUAGGUGCGCGGUAAUCAAACGCGGGAUAAAUUUAGUUAAAUAUUUGCAACGCAACUCAAAUAAAAUUUAGUCGCACGAGCGAACAGGACGCUGCGUAAUUGCGUUACGGCUUCGAAUGCUGUAUGAUUUUAAAUUUGAUUAUUUACUGUUCGCUUUUGUUAGAACUGCAUAGAAUGGCUUGCAGAAUCAUCUAAAGGUCCAUCAUAGCUUCGACGAAGCAAUACAAAAACUGAUAAAGCGUAGCUUUCUUG